rnacentral:rRNA from 1 species
UUUAUUGGAGAGUUUGAUCCUGGCUCAGGAUGAACGCUGGCGGCGUGCCUAAUACAUGCAAGUCGAGCGAAUGGAUUAAGAGCUUGCUCUUAUGAAGUUAGCGGCGGACGGGUGAGUAACACGUGGGUAACCUGCCCAUAAGACUGGGAUAACUCCGGGAAACCGGGGCUAAUACCGGAUAACAUUUUGCACCGCAUGGUGCGAAAUUCAAAGGCGGCUUCGGCUGUCACUUAUGGAUGGACCCGCGUCGCAUUAGCUAGUUGGUGAGGUAACGGCUCACCAAGGCAACGAUGCGUAGCCGACCUGAGAG